rnacentral:rRNA from 1 species
GACGAACGCUGGCGGCGUGCUUAACACAUGCAAGUCGAACGAAGAGCGAUGGAAGCUUGCUUCUAUCAAUCUUAGUGGCGAACGGGUGAGUAACGCGUAAUCAACCUGCCCUUCAGAGGGGGACAACAGUUGGAAACGACUGCUAAUACCGCAUACGAUCUAAUCUCGGCAUCGAGGAUAGAUGAAAGGUGGCCUCUACAUGUAAGCUAUCACUGAAGGAGGGGAUUGCGUCUGAUUGGCUAGUUGGAGGGGUAACGGCCCACCAAGGCGAUGAUCAGUAGCCGGUCUGAGAGGAUGAACGGCCACAUUGGGACUGAGACACGGCCCAGACUCCUACGGGAGGCAGCAGUGGGGAAUCUUCCGCAAUGGACGAAAGUCUGACGGAGCAACGCCGCGUGAGUGAUGACGGCCUUCGGGUUGUAAAGCUCUGUUAAUCGGGACGAAAGGCCUUCUUGCGAAUA